rnacentral:misc_RNA from 1 species
AAGAUGAAAGACAGCUGAAUAAGGAAGGAUGGAAGGAAUGUUUAGAGUCAGGUUUGAAACGUAAACAAUAUAGCGUGAAUUGUUAUUCGAGAUCUGAUAAUCCUUGAACAGUCGACUGGAUGAAAAUUGUUCUAUACAAAACCAGGAUUAUUCCCCUUGUUUACAAGAGUUCGAGUUUAUGUCUAACUUUCAAAAAUGAUUGCCUUAUUUAUUACUUGACAACAUCAAGGGCUCUAUUUAUUCAAGUUUGGAGACACAAAUCAAGAUAAGCGGUCAUUCUAGAUGAAUUUUAAUUCUGAUUGCGAGGAUAAAGUGGAUGUUGUGAGGACAAACAACGAUUAUACUUCAGAUUCAGACCCUAUUGCAGAAAUUACCCGAAGGACUUCGAAUAUUUUACAAAGCAGUGAGAGACAACAAGAAAUAUCUGAUUGUAAAUUGAUCAGCCGAAGUACAGAAAAAGUACAACCAAUUCAAACGAACGUUGUCGAUUCUAUACAAUCCGAUUUAACAACAAAUGUCAAAAAAGAAUAUGUUUACAGGGAUGAGAAAAGUGAAGACUCGGAAGUUGAAGUUCUCUCUGAACCAGAAUCGAAUAUAGCAGACUAUAGUGGAAAUGGAAAAGUCUCAGAUGAACAAAAAUUUAUCAAUCCAGAUUGUUUAGCUGACACCAGAGUGGAAGCACAAACAGCAACUGAAAAAAUUCAUGACGCAAUCACUUUGCAGGUGCAACGUUACAACAGUUCAAUCUCAGAAAUAACUCAGCCAUGUGAGAAAUUAGAGAAAAACGAAUUUAAACAUUAUUACUACAAAGGAAGUUUAAGUGAUGAUUCUGACGUUGAAGUGCUCUAUGAAACAGAAUGGAAUAGUCGGGUGUCAGCCGACACUUGGGACAAUAUAAAUUCACCACAUCUACAAAAGCAAGGUUUGGCAUGUUUAGAGACUGUGCAUAAAAAACUACUACCUACACCAGCAUUUCCAAUUCAAACAGAUGAUUUAGAGGAUGGCGGGAAGAGAAGUGAUGUCGAAUCAGGCAACUGCAGCAAAGAUUCUGAAAUUGAAAUAAUAUCCAAAUCAGAGUUGAGCAUCAGAAGUGAAGGAAGCGAAUUUGGAAAUGCGUCUGGCUAUCUGAAACGAAAACCUACUGGUUCUCUCCUGUCUGACAGUACUAAACGAUCAAAAAGUGAAGAUUUCCUAAACAGUAGAAGCGACUGAAUUGAAUGGGAAAACAUGAAAUUGAAUUCUGCAUCUAAUCCCUCAUAAAAUGUGUGAUGGCCAUUAUGCUUCUACAAUAUUUUUAACAUUUUUUCUUUCUAAUCAAAAUUUUGUGCUACUUCAUUUUUUACUGUUAACAACAUUCAGGUUUAUAUUGUUAGUAUUUUUUUUUUUUUAAUACAAAUUCAUUUUCAAUCAAAUUAGGUGGAAAUACAUACUUUAGUUUCUUUGGAACAAUUUUUAAAAUUAUAGGACAGAGUAAAUGUUUUACUGCAUAAAAAUGUACUUUAAACAUUCCUUUUUAAGUUUACAACAGUAGUAAUUAACUGUAAAAUACUGUAAAUUGCUAUGUGAAUGUUAUUCAUAUUAUUAACUGAAGAGUUAAGUGAAGAGUGACUUAACAAUAAUUACUUUUAAAUUACCUCAUCUAAUUUCUUUAUUGGAUCAUUUGCAUUGUUAAUUUGCACUUAUCAAUCCCACUAGCUUAUUCAAUAAUUGUUUGUUUGAACUUUUCUUUUUAAAUUACAGUUUAAGUUAAUUGUUCAACUAAUAAAUUUUUUUAUG